UGUUCGUAACUGUCUGAAUGUAAAGAGGCGACCAUGUGAAAGCAAACAUAAACAACGCUUAUUAUGGAUCAAGUUAACUUGUUUGAAGUAAUGUUUAACCAGUUUGAUCAACUAGCGUAGGGUUGUCAUUAGAAGAGGCUGAUUUGUGCAUCAAAGUUAAUGUACACGGAAUACAUGCUUAAAUUUUGGUUGACACCGGAGCAACAUUUACAUUUUUGUCGCAGACUAGACCACGGGAAACCAGGAUAAGACAGAUAUAUUACUGCAAACGGGGAAAAUGGGUGGGAUAUUGAUAUGGUAAUUCACUGCAAUGUAAAGGUAGCCCGGAAAUGCUAACGGAAUACUGGGUUUAAUGUUUUCUGGUAACAAAUUAUUAUACAGUUGACGUUAAUCAUAAGAUACUUUAAUUAAAUGAUAAAAGAAUAACGCUGCUUUUUAGGGUUACAUUAGUUGCAAUUAAAAACAGCAAUCAAGACAGUAACCAUAAAUUCAAGAACUGAAAUUUUGAGAGUUGAAAAUGUAUGAAAUAAUGACAAUAGUAUUCUAAAUCCUUUUUUGUAAAACCUUUUGCAUAAGAAUCGUCAUCAAAUGUUUUCUGGCCGCCAGAAAUAUUUUCAUCACAAGAAACAGUUGAGAUUUGACUACUAAUUGUCGAGAAAGAACCCACAUUUUUUAUCGCGGAAGAGAUUUUAGACAACUGAGUGAUGUCUAAGUUGUUAAAUCAUCUGGAGAAGACGCAACGUGACAGAGCAGAAAGGUAAUACCUGAUCUCGUGAAAAUAUUGAAUACUGUGGCUAAAAAACGGACACAAAAGCAAAGGAGAGACAUUCAUACACUCAUGCAUAAUUAUAAUAAUCAUUAUGAUUACAUAUAGUCGGAAUUAGGACGCAUGGAUAUCGUUAGGCACAACACUGAUACAGUGAUAAAUCGCCCUGUUAAAAUACUACCAAGAUGAGUUUCAGUCCACUUUAGAAAGGAAAUUGGUAAACAGUUUGGAUGUCAUGGCGGGGGGAGGGGGAGGAUGAAUGUUCGAGCCAUCUAAAGUCCAUGAUCUGCGUACUUUAAAAAGGCUUAUAAAAAUUAUACAUUGAUCUUCGCAAGUUAAAUAUCAUAUGCAGAAUGCAUAUCCUAUUCCCAAAAUUGAAGAGUAGAAGUUCCUGGUUUUCUUUAUUUCAUCUGCUCGGGAUAUUGACAAGUAGAUAUGGACCUUAGACAAAAAAAAUCGCUUUUGCAACUCGUCGAAAACUUGUCCAAUUUAAUGUAAUGGUUUAUGCUGAGCUACCAGCAACAAUUAGACGCCAUAUAGAAAGUGUGUUUGCAGGCCUUCACUGGGACAUAUGUUUUGUCCAUUUAGACGAAAUUAUAGUAACACGCAAGACGUUUGAGGAACUAUUAUCAAACCUCAGGAAUGCAUCUGACAGACUGAAAGGAGCUGGACUUAUAAUUAAACCUAUGGCAAAGGAUUGGUGUCUGUUUGCAUUUUAUGUACAUCUACCUUGGGCAUGUAAUAUAAGCAAAAAGAAUAGGAACAGAUGCAACCAGAUUGCAGCAGUAGAACAUUGGCCAGUUCCUACAAAUACCACUAUAGUACGCUCUUUACCUUUGUUACAAAGCUACUAUAUGAGACUCAUAAAUGACUUUUCCACCGUUGCUAAAUGUUGACAUACCUUUACAGAGAACAGAACAUACUUCAAAUGGAGACCCGGUUAUCAAUGAGCCUUUUAUUCUUUACAUUUAAGUUAAACGUUGCACAAAUGCUUUGUAAUUCAUAUUUCAACCUGUCAUAUUUCAACCUACUAUAGAUUCAGAUUCAAGCAACGUAUCAAUAGGUGCAAUUUUGUCAAACAUAGCUGUUUAUCUGUCAAUAAAAACAGCACAUGAAGGUCGGACCUUAACGAGUAAAAGAACUAAUUGUGUAACAAAUAAAAGAACUUCUUGCGAUGGAGCAUUUUAUGAAGCAUUUCAAAUACCAUCUGUGCAGAAAAGAGUUUGUUGUGCAAAGUGAAUACAGCCCACUAAAACCGUUUUCCAAUUCAUUAACCCAUAGAGACAGCCUGCUGGUUGGCAAUCCUUAGCUUUUACAAAGAACUAUAUAUCAUAUAUAUAUAUGAGUCAAAUUCGGCUCCCAUAAUUUGCCAUUUCAUAAAUGUUUCAUGUCCAUCAAUGGUUAUGUUAUCUUUUGGAAGAGUUGAUGUAAGAUAUAUUUUGUACCGAUUUAUUUGACCUAAUCGCUCACACUUUCUUGUAACUUAAUAAAAAUAAGUCAAAAAU
rnacentral:sRNA from 1 species